UAGAGUUUGAUCAUGGCUCAGGACGAACGCUGGCGGCGUGCUUAACACAUGCAAGUCGAACGGUAAGGCCCCUUCGGGGGUACACGAGUGGCGAACGGGUGAGUAACACGUGGGUAAUCUGCCCUGCACUUCGGGAUAAGCCUGGGAAACUGGGUCUAAUACCGGAUAUGAGCUCCUGCCGCAUGGUGGGGGUUGGAAAGUUUUUCGGUGCAGGAUGAGUCCGCGGCCUAUCAGCUUGUUGGUGGGGUAAUGGCCUACCAAGGCGACGACGGGUAGCCGGCCUGAGAGGGUGAUCGGCCACACUGGGACUGAGACACGGCCCAGACUCCUACGGGAGGCAGCAGUGGGGAAUAUUGCACAAUGGGCGAAAGCCUGAUGCAGCGACGCCGCGUGGGGGAUGACGGUCUUCGGAUUGUNAACCCCUUUCAGUAGGGACGAAGCGAGA
rnacentral:rRNA from 1 species